GAUGAACGCUGGCGGCGUGCCUAACACAUGCAAGUCGAGCGAACAGACGAGGAGCUUGUUCCUUUGACGUUAGCGGCGGACGGGUGAGUAACACGUGGAUAACCUACCUAUAAUUCUGGGAUAACUUCGGGAAACCGGAGAUAAUACCGGAGAAUAUAUUGAACCGCAUGGUUCAAUGGAGAAUGACGGCUUUGCUGUCACUUAUAGAGGGAUCCGCGCCGGAUUAGCUGGUUGGUAAGGUAACGGCUUACCAAGGCGACGAUGCGUGGCCGAGCUGAGAGGGUGAUCGGCCACACUGGAACUGAGACACGGUCCAGACUCCUACGGGAGGCAGCAGUAGGGAAUCUUCGGCAAUGGGCGAAAGCCUGACGCAGCGAGGCCGCGUGAGUGAUGAAGGCCUUCGGAUCGUAAAGCUCUGUUAUUGGGGGAGAACAGAUGUGGAAGUAAACAUAGAGGUCGUGACGGUACCUAAUCAAAAAGCCACGGCUAACUACGUG
rnacentral:rRNA from 1 species